rfam:Beta vulgaris subsp. vulgaris chromosome 6, whole genome shotgun sequence.
GGCGGCAUGGUCGAAUGGUAAGGCAGAGGACUGCAAAUCAUUUUUCCCCAGUUCAAAUCCAGGUGUUGCUU